rnacentral:lncRNA from 1 species
CAACUAUCGAUAUAUCGAAAAUUCAAAUCGAUCAAAUUGCCUAACUACGUCGACACAUUGCGCAAUUUAGCUGACAAUAAUCUGCAUAAACCGAUGGCGCAGCGAAAUGCAAAUAAAAGGAUGUCCCCUUAUUCCAGUAAGUGGAAAAUAUUAGAUAAAAGGAAAGACAUUUCGAAAUAUUUGAAUGUGUACUCUUUAUCUUCCUAAUUUUCCACAAUAAACUUUUUCUUGCCAAGGA